rnacentral:rRNA from 2 species
ACCUUCGCAAUGCGCGAAAGCGUGACGAGGUUAAUCCGAGUGGUCCCCGCUUAGGGGAUCUUUUGCCGGCUGUAAAUAGGCCGGUGAAUAAGGGGAGGGCAAGUCUGGUGUCAGCCGCCGCGGUAAUACCAGCUCCUCGAGUGGUCGGGGCGAUUAUUGGGCCUAAAGCAUCCGUAGCCUGUUCUGUAGGUCUUCUGUUAAAUCCAACGGCUCAACCGUUGGCGGGCAGAGGAUACCGCAGGACUAGGAGGCGGGAGAGGUGGGCGGUACUCCACGUGUAGGGGUAAAAUCCUUUGAUCCGUGGAAGACCACCAGUGGCGAAGGCGGCCCACCAGAACGCGCUCGACGGUGAGGGAUGAAAGCUGGGGGAGCGAACCGGAUUAGAUACCCGGGUAGUCCCAGCCGUAAACGAUGCGAGCUAGAUGAUCCAGUCGCAAAUCGCGACUGGAGUGUCGCAGGGAAGCCGUUAAGCUCGCCGCCUGGGGAGUACGGUCGCAAGACUGAAACUUAA